CACGUAGGGGGCAAGCGUUGUCCGGAUUUAUUGGGCGUAAAGAGCUCGUAGGCGGUUCGGUAAGUCGGGUGUGAAACCUCCAGGCUCAACCUGGAGACGCCACCCGAUACUGCUGUGACUAGAGUCCGGUAGGGGAGCGUGGAAUUCCUGGUGUAGCGGUGAAAUGCGCAGAUAUCAGGAGGAACACCGGUGGCGAAGGCGGUUCUCUGGGCAUUACCUGACGCUGAGGAGCGAAAGUGUGGGGAGCGAACAGG
rnacentral:rRNA from 1 species